rnacentral:tRNA from 1 species
ACUAUUUUGGCAGAUAAGUGCGAUGGAUUUAGAAUCUAUAGAUGUGGUUUAGAUUACAAAUAGUA